GACGAACGCUGGCGGCGUGCUUAACACAUGCAAGUCGAACGGAAAGGCCCUGCUUGCAGGGUACUCGAGUGGCGAACGGGUGAGUAACACGUGGGUGAUCUGCCCUGCACUUCGGGAUAAGCCUGGGAAACUGGGUCUAAUACCGGAUAGGAGCCAUUUUUAGUGUGAUGGUUGGAAAGUUUUUUCGGUGUAGGAUGAGCUCGCGGCCUAUCAGCUUGUUGGUGGGGUAAUGGCCUACCAAGGCGGCGACGGGUAGCCGGCCUGAGAGGGUGGACGGCCACAUUGGGACUGAGAUACGGCCCAGACUCCGACGGGAGGCAGCAGUGGGGAAUAUUGCACAAUGGGCGCAAGCCUGAUGCAGCGACGCCGCGUGGGGGAUGACGGCCUUCGGGUUGUAAACUCCUUUCGCUAGGGACGAAGCUUUUUGUGACGGUACCUAGAUAAGAAGCACCGGCUAACUACGUG
rnacentral:rRNA from 1 species